rfam:Hordeum vulgare subsp. vulgare, WGS project CAJW01000000 data, contig: morex_contig_5931
CAGUGACUCCUCCGGUCCGGAAAUACUUGUUAUAGGAAUGAAUGUAUCUAGAUGUAUUUUAAUUUUAGAUACAUCCAUUUUCAUUUAUUUGUACGACAAGUAUUUUCGGACGGAGGAAGUACUUU